rnacentral:tRNA from 3 species
GGGCCGGUAGCUCAGUUGGUCAGAGCGGGCGACUCAUAAUCGCCUGGUCACAGGUUCGAGUCCUGUCCGGCCCACCA